GCAAACUUGGUCAUUUAGAGGAAGUAAAAGUCGUAACAAGGUUUCCGUAGGUGAACCUGCGGAAGGAUCAUUAUCGAAUUAAACAUGGGAUCAGGCUGUUGCUGGCUCUUAGGGGCAUGUGCACGUCUAUUCUAUCUUUACUUUGCCACCUGUGCACUAUAUGUAGACCUGAAAUUGACAUCCUCUCGAGCACAACUCGGUAAUGGGAUUGCUGUGCACAAGCCACUGACUCUUCCGUGUUAUAUUUCUGGUCUAUGUUUUUAUCAUACUAUGUAAAUUGAGAUUGUAACUUGUAGGCAUUGUUGUGCCUUGCAAAUCAUUAUACAACUUUCAACAACGGAUCUCUUGGCUCUCGCAUCGAUGAAGAACGCAGC
rnacentral:misc_RNA from 1 species